AUUGAACGCUGGCGGCAGGCCUAACACAUGCAAGUCGAGCGAGCGGCGGACGGGUGAGUAAUGUCUGGGAAACUGCCUGAUGGCGGGGGAUAACUACUGGAAACGGUAGCUAAUACCGCAUACCAUCAGAUGUGCCCAGAUGGGAUAAGCUUGUAGGUGGGGUAACGGCUCACCUAGGCGACGAUCCGUAGCUGGUCUGAGAGGAUGACCAGCGACAGUGGAGCGGGGACACGGUCCAGAGUCCUACGGGAGGGAGCAGUGGGGAAGAUUGCACAAUGGUGGCAAGUCUGAGGCAGCCAUGCCGAGUGUGUGAAGAAGGCCUUGGGGUUGUAAAGCACUUUCAGCGGUGAGGCGUUACCCGCAGAAGAAGCACCGGCUAACUACGUGCCAGCAGCCGCGGUAAUAC
rnacentral:rRNA from 1 species